AAACAAUCGCAUCACAAUCCAAUAAAGAAAAUCUUAUACCUUUGAAUAUCGUAGGAACAGAGGUACCAAAAUAGACCGUUCUUCGAGGUAAUUCCCAUAUCAAUUCCCUUGGGACAUUGAUUGGGUUUAGGCUGGAUGCAUGAUCCGCAAACACCUGUAUCAAU
rnacentral:sRNA from 1 species